CCGGGAUUCAAUAAAGUGUGACGUAAUUUCAUACACUUUGUAACAAACAAUUUUGUUAGAUCGUGAACUGCGACUUAUUUCAAUUGCUCAAAAUACGUCAUACUUCAUUGAAUCCCGGGUAAGCGGGACCAUAUAAACAGCCCCUAAAUAAAGGUUUCAAUAAUGCAGAUCAUUACAAAUUUGCAUACAUGGAUGACCUGUUGCUAUGCCUAGCUUCGCUACUGCAUUGGCAUUGCACUGAUUUUCAUUUUUUAACUUAGAAUAUUUUAAAAGUAAAACAUGUAAACCAAAUAGAGCUGCUCUCAUUGAUUAUCAACUAGAGCUGUGCGGUUAACCGAAAAAUUCGGUUCUUCCGGUACUUUUUUCAGCACCGAAAAACUAUACGCAAAAAACCGGUAGUUUCGGUUUUAAUUUCCCGUUUAACGCCCACCUGAUUGCAGG